GUUCUGCCAGAAUCGACUUCGGCUUUGCACGGUGUUGACUGUUGAGUGUUUGUAAAUUCCCGGCUGUCAACUGAAGCUGUGUUGAAUAGAAAUGAACUCAGAUAACGAAGAAUCAGUUGAAGGAGAGAAGAGGACAGAAAAUAAACGGAAAAGGCGUAGAAAGAAAGAGAAAGCAGCAGAUACUGUUGUGACAGCGGCACUUAAACAAUUAAAUGCCGAUGAAAUCGAAACGGUGACAGAGGACCGUGUCGAUGGCGUGGAGCAUAGUGUAACAACACAACCAGUUUUCAGAAGUUACCCAUCUGAUAUGGUUUAUGUUGAAAGAAAGAGCGGUUUUUUACCAGCCCCGAGAGAAAUAGUUUUAUCACGCACAAGUAAAAUAAAAUUUAAAGAAAAAUUACAUACGGAGAAUAAGUCAACAGUAGAAUUAGCUGUAAAAAUUCAAGAGGCAUUCCAUCCAUUUUACAAUUUAUGCCACGGAAUUUUAGGAGGAAUGUCACUUACACUAUGUUUGUUGGUUGUGAGCAUUGGAUGGACCAGAGUAGAGAUAGAAGAAUUUAUUAAUGUAUAUGACAACUUUUCAAGACCUGCACAAUCAAUGUUUUAUUUUCUUACUGUGGUUUGUGUUAUUUCGUCACUUGAUAGGUGUGAUGUUGCACAAAUGUGUGGGCUCCAUGCAAGGAAGUUGUGCCUUCAUCAUUUUCCAGACAUUUUGCUGCUGCUACUGUAUUUGUGCACUUUGGUAACAACUGUUGUCACCAGCUACUGGGAUGAACAACUUGCCUACCACCAUCAUAAUUCAACUGGCAUGUGGAAAGAUGAUGCUGACAUGAAGGCAAGUCUUUCCCUGUGGCGGAAUUUGCACUUUGGGAGGUGCAUUGGUGCAGUUAGUAGUUGGAUCAUUGUGUCACUCUACCCUGACCAUGGAUUACUUCACUCACGUUUAAUCAGCACCAUAAAACUGCAGUUCAGGCCUGCAGUUGAUAUUACGUCAUCUUAACAUCACCAUGUACAGAGUGUGGAGAUUGGAACACAGCAUGCCAACAGAGCAUGCAAGUGCAGCUUAUCGCCAUCUUUCAGACUUGAGAAGACUCAAAACUUUGUAGUGCAGUGACUACAGGCAAGUGGUGGUGAUAUGGACUUGGAGCAACAGUGUGGCAGGAUGUUGGCAUGGGUUCCUCCAGGAGAACUACACAACAAAAAGACCAUAGGAUUGUUCAACUGCCUCUAACAAACAGGCAGACUACAGCAGCUGAAAUCAGGGCAGAGGUUACAGACAUUGUCACCAUAAUAUCUCAGGAACCCGUAACGGAAGCUGGGUUGAGGUCUUGAGAGUUGUCAUGUGUCAUUUACUACUGGCACCAUACUACUUAUAAGGUGCAGAACCAGAGUCGGCUGGCAUGUUUAGGGGAAUUCUGUGCUUUAAUGACUCUUGCUUAUGUUUGUAGCAGUCAGAUUGAUGGGGAGUUACUGCAGAUGACCUGAUGAAAGACCACAGAAAGCAGCAUUUCUUGAGGCCCAAACCUCAAGUCAUGGAUAAUGGUGUGGGGAGAUAUUAAAUUUGACAGAAGAAUUUGAUUUAGUAAUUGUUAAAGUGAGACUGAAUGGUAAACCCUGUCGUCAUACCCUUCACGACUGGGAUACCAAGUGGCAUAUUCCAGUAGAAUAACAAAAGACCCUACACUGCAUUUCACAUCACAGACACUUUGAAGAAUGUACGAAUCUUGGUUGGCCUGCCCAGUCUACUGAUUUGUCACCCUUACAGCAUGUGUGGGAUGUGAUGGAAAGGUGUAUACAUUCAUACCAGCCUCCAGCCAGCAAUCUUAAUGAACUUACCCAUCAUAGCGUUUCAGGUAUGGCAAGAAAUUCUCAGAGAUGCCAUUUGGAGGCAAUUUGCUUUCAGCCACAACAAAUACAAGAGGAAAAGUGUAUCAUGCCCAUGAGGGUCACACAUCGUACUGAUCAUAAUGAUGGACAUCGGUUCCACAUGGAAUGAAAAUUUCAUCAUUUACUACACAUUACGUGAUGAACAUCUCCACAGAGUUGGAUAAACAUCAGACUAGUGCUUCAUGGUGUAACACUUUCCACAUCUGUCUGUGUGUUAGCAAAUUGACAAUUUGUUGUCGUAUAUCAAAUGGCUUGAAAAUUAAAUAAUCAUGGAAUGCUACAAUAGAGGAGGGAAAGGAGGCAGUAUAUGGUUGCACAAGAAUAAAUAAGAGAGAAAAAGGGCAUGUGAGAUACUGUGAUGGUGGCUAGCACCCUCUUCCACUAUCAUAAGAGGAAAAGGUGUACUUUAAAAAGUCCUGGUGAAAAAUUACUAUCAUAAUUAGAUAGUAAUUUGGAAAACAAAUAAUGGACUAGAAAGAAUAUCCAGAUGCUAGUAUGGAUAGAGGUCAUAUGGUAGUGGUGACACAUAACAUACUGAAAUUCAGAAGAAUAAAGUAGAAGUAUUUCAGAUGCCUGGACCAUCUAUCAGUGAUCUCCAUGCUAAGUAAAAAUGUUAGAUGUAUUCCAGUGGAAAGUUUAUUUUUAACAUUUUUGUCCAUUCUGUGUAUUACGACACUUUUGACAAACUCCGCUGUGUUCUGAGGAGACAAACUGUCACUGUAGGAAUCUAGAAAGGCAAGCAAAAGAUUAGUUUACACAAGUGCUUUUUAAAUAAAUAUAAUUUACUCAACUCGUGCAAAAGAUGGCAGACUUAGCAGCCAUAGACAGAGGCCCGAAUGGGCGAGCCCAUAGGUGCACUGAAUAUUUGCCGGUAGAGCUAUCGACAACUCAGUGUAAAGUUCAGCACCAAUUAGAGACAUGGAAGCACUCAUGACUCGAAGAUUGGUGCCCAGGUGCCCACUGCUUAUAACACUAUCCUAGCAGUCUUCAUUGGGUGGUGCCGGCAGCCUGGCGGGUCUUCGUUAGUGACGAUGUUCAAAGCGCAGCUCGUGGCACCUGCAGGACUCUUCGAGGCACUGGCUCCAACACUACUGAUAAGCCUCGAUACUACAAAUGGCUGUGACUUUGAAUGUGAUUUUUCAUGGUGAUUGGGAGGUUAAAGUGAGUUUUUAAUGGAAACCUCUGUCAUUAAGAUUUGAAAAGAUUGACUCAUUUUGUGUAUAAAAUGAUGCAUUCUGAACAAAGAAAACAAGUUCUUGUAGACCAUGCUCAGUUUGAAAGGCAGUGAAAAUAGAUGGGGUGCCAGCAUUAUAUAGUAACUUAGUUUAUGUACAUUAUAGUCUGGUUUACUUACUAAAUUUGAAUCGUAUGAAGUAAUUAUUAAUUACCACUACAUGAUUAUAUUGCGGUAGAUCAUUGCACAGUCUAUUAGGGUGCCCUCGUACACUGCCACUGGCAGAGUGGAUGAGAAGAUGGUCAUAUGGGGACACAGCGCUUGACUCUUGCAAAGCAUGUGAUGGGAGAAAGAUGUCACUAUGACUGCAUGCUGGAACACUGUUCUUGUUUCAUUGCUAAUUUGAAUGAUCAGCUUGUCAAAACUGCAACUCUGUUUUGCUUUAUUAGGUUGAAUCACAUAGCUACAAUAACUGACCAGCCUCCAAAUGGAAUCAUAGACAUGAUUACAAUGUUAAGAGAGUUCCAGGGUGUUUACAGCCCCAUGGCCAUGUUUUAUGCUGGAUGUUUUUGUAACAGACGACACACUAACUCAAGAGGUUCCCACAUCAGUGGUGUUAUCAGAUGAAACCACAUUUACAAAUACUGGUGAAGUAAACAGGAACAACUGUCAUAACUUGUCAGAUGCCCAUCUACACUGGUACAGAACUGUUGACCACCAACAACAUUGAUGCCCCAAAAGUUAGUAUGGAAUUGUCAAUGGCUAUCUGAUCGAUCCCUACUUUUUUAAUGGUACUGUUAAUCAAUAUAAUUUUUUAGUGAUCAUUUACCUGGCAUACUUCAAGAUGUUGACUUAGAGAUGAGACAAAGAAUAUGAGUGCAAUUGGAUGAUGCCGCACCACAUUACUCACAGUGGAUUGGACGUGGCGGUCUCAUUCCGUGUCUGCUUGUUCACCCGAUCUAACUUCCCCUUCCCUGAUUUUUAUCUUUGGGAACAGUUGAAAAAUAUUUAUUAUGAGCAGCAACACAUUGACAAGAGAAAACAUGAUGGAAUUUAUCUGGAGAGCUUUUGUAGCCAUUCCAUGAGAUGUCCUGCUUUCCACUGUGAGAUAUUUCUUAAGGAGGAUUAAUUUGUGCAUUGAAACAAAUGGUGGUCACUUUGAGCAUAUACGCAAUGGUUAAUUUCCACGUACAAAGUGAAAGGUAUGAGAACUCUUUAAAUUGAUCACUCCAAAGAAAGAGAGUUGAGAGGACACUCAGUGACUUGUAAAUCAAUAAUCUACAUUUUAUUUACGUUUGUUCUGUCUUGCAAAUGUCAAAAUAACAUUUAUACGUUAUGAUGUAUUUAUUUUUGUCAGUACACAUGAUAAUUAAAACUUAAAAUGUAAACCUCUCUACGCUCUUUCCAAAUCCAACAUCAUAAAUAGGGGUGUCCGUGAAACAAAGCUCAACCUUUGAUAAUUGCCUUAAGAUCAUAAUUAUUGGUAAUGAUACAUGACCCAUUAUGCCCCUUCCAGUUUGUAUCUAAGUUUGUAUUUUACUGUAUCUCUCUUCUAUUCCAAGUUAAU